GCCUAGUUAGCUCAGUUGGUAGUGCGUCUGCCUUGUAAGCGCUAGGCCGCGGAUUCGAUUCCCGCCCGGGGCG
rnacentral:tRNA from 1 species